rnacentral:rRNA from 1 species
AACGAACGCUGGCGGCAGGCUUAACACAUGCAAGUCGAGCGCCCCGCAAGGGGAGCGGCAGACGGGUGAGUAACGCGUGGGAAUCUACCCAUCUCUACGGAAUAACGCAUGGAAACGUGUGCUAAUACCGUAUACGUCCUUCGGGAGAAAGAUUUAUCGGGGAUGGAUGAGCCCGCGUUGGAUUAGCUAGUUGGUGGGGUAAGGGCCUACCAAGGCGACGAUCCAUAGCUGGUUUGAGAAGAUGAUCAGCCACACUGGGACUGAGACACGGCCCAGACUCCUACGGGAGGCAGAAGUGGGGAAUAUGGGACAAUGGGCGCAAGCCUGAUCCAGCCAUGCCGCGUGAGUGAUGAAGGCCCUAGGGUUGUAAAGCUCUUUCACCGGUGAAGAUAAUGACGGUAACCGGAGAAGAAGCCCCGGCUAACUUCGUGCCAGCCGCCGCCGUAACAC